rfam:Dipodomys ordii contig_40183, whole genome shotgun sequence.
GGGAAGGUAGCUCAGUGGUAGAGUGCUUGCCUUGCAUGCAUGAGACCCUGGGCUCGAUUUCUCAGCACCA